rnacentral:rRNA from 1 species
UGCGUAGGCGGUUUUGUAAGUUUGGUGUGAAAUCUCCCGGCUCAACUGGGAGGGUGCGCCGAAAACUGCAAGGCUGGAGUGUGGGAGAGGUAGGCGGAAUUCCUGGUGUAGCGGUGAAAUGCGUAGAUAUCAGGAGGAACACCUGUGGUGUAGACGGCUUACUGGACCAUAACUGACGCUGAGGCACGAAAGCGUGGGAAGCAAACA